rnacentral:lncRNA from 1 species
UAUCACCAGACAGCUUCAAGGAAAUAAGGCUGACUUUAUGAAGCCAAUGAAGCCCUUUGAAAAUGUUGGCCAGGUACCUCGUUUACAGAGUUCCCAGCAGCCUUACCAGGUGAAUUCUUGUACUGCCAGCACUGCCAACUGGAAUGCAUCGUCCUUGUGUGGCUUAAACAACAACUACUUAUUUUUCACAGUUCUGGAGGCUGGAUGUCCAAGAUCAAGGUGAUGGCAGAUUCCACUUCUGGUGAGAGCCCUCUUCCUGGCUUACAGAUGACCACUUUCUUUUCCCACUGUUUAUUCACAUGGCAAAGAGAGGGAGAGAAAGCAAGCUGUCUCUUACUGAAUCUUAACAGGCAUUAAUCCCAUCAUGAGGGCCCUAUUCUGAUAACCUCAUCUAAAUGUAGUUACUUCCCAGAGGACUUACCUCCCACCUACAAAUUUCAGCAGACACAAGCAUCCAGC